rnacentral:misc_RNA from 1 species
CUUAAGUCAGCACAAGGACAAAAUUAUUGUAAGCCAUAUCAUUCUCUUUGUUUUAAACUUUUUAGGUGUUAUGGUGUAUGUGGCAUUAAAUAUGAGCAUUUAUAUGUAGGAUAUCAUCGAAAAGGCAGAGAAACAACCAAACCUCACAAUUGGUGUCCUCAUAUCCAUUGUCGUGGUGAUAUUACCUGUUCUCCUUAAGCUUAUUUUUGGUGGG